rnacentral:rRNA from 1 species
AUUGAACGCUGGCGGCAGGCCUAACACAUGCAAGUCGAACGGUAACAGGAAGCAGCUUGCUGCUUCGCUGACGAGUGGCGGACGGGUGAGUAAUGUCUGGGAAGCUGCCUGAUGGAGGGGGAUAACUACUGGAAACGGUAGCUAAUACCGCAUAAUGUCGCAAGACCAAAGAGGGGGACCUUCGGGCCUCUUGCCAUCGGAUGUGCCCCGAUGGGAUUAGCUUGUUGGUGGGGUAACGGCUCACCAAGGCGACGAUCCCUAGCUGGUCUGAGAGGAUGACCAGCCACACUGGAACUGAGACACGGUCCAGACUCCUACGGGAGGCAGCAGUGGGGAAUAUUGCACAAUGGGCGCAAGCCUGAUGCAGCCAUGCCGCGUGUAUGAAGAAGGCCUUCGGGUUGUAAAGUACUUUCAGCGGGGAGGAAGGGAGUAAAGUUAAUACCUUUGCUCAUUGACGUUACCCGCAGAAGAAGCACCGGCUAACUCCGUG